CCUACGGGAGGCUGCAGUGGGGAAUAUUGGACAAUGGGGGAAACCCUGAUCCAGCGAUGCCGCGUGGAUGAUGAAGGCCUUCGGGUCGUAAAGUCCUUUUCUGAGGGAAGAACUGUCUGGCGAGGAAAUGCGCUGGAUUUGACGGUACCUCAGGAAUAAGCAACGGCUAACUCCGUGCCAGCAGCCGCGGUAAUACGGAGGUUGCAAGCGUUGUUCGGAAUAACUGGGCGUAAAGGGAGCGCAGGCGGCUUGGUAAGUCUAAAGUGAAAUUCCAGGGCUCAACCCUGGACGUGCUUUGGAUACUGCCUGGCUUGAGUACGUGAGAGGAGAUUGGAAUUCCAGGUGUAGCGGUGAAAUGCGUAGAUAUCUGGAGGAACACCGGUGGCGAAAGCGGAUCUCUGGCACGUUACUGACGCUGAGGCUCGAAAGCGUGGGGAGCAAACGGGAUUAGAUACCCCAGUAGUC
rnacentral:rRNA from 1 species